GACGAACGCUGGCGGCGUGCCUAAUACAUGCAAGUCGAGCGAACCAAUGGGAGCUUGCCCCCUGAGGUUAGCGGCGGACGGGUGAGUAACACGUGGGUAACCUGCCUGUAAGACUGGGAUAACUUCGGGAAACCGGAGCUAAUACCGGAUAAUUUCUUUUCGCUUCAUGGAGGAAUGUUAAAAGGUGGCGCAAGCUGUCACUGCAAGAAGGGCCCGCGGCGCAUUAGCUAGUUGGUAGGGUAACGGCCUACCAAGGCGACGAUGCGUAGACGACCUGAGAGGGUGAUCGGCCACACUGGGACUGAGACACGGCCCAGACUCCUACGGGAGGCAGCAGUAGGGAAUCUUCCACAAUGGACGAAAGUCUGAUGGAGCAACGCCGCGUGAGUGAAGAAGGUUUUCGGAUCGUAAAACUCUGUUGUAAGGGAAGAACACGUACGAGAGUAACUGCUCGUACCUUGACGGUACCUUAUUAGAAAGCCACGGCUAACUACGUGCCAGCCGCCGCCGUAAAAC
rnacentral:rRNA from 1 species